UAUUGAUCUUUUGCAUGGUAGCUAAUAAGCCUACCAGACCGAUUAAGUCCGGUUUUAUGCAAAUGAACUUGUGUGACAAUGUUCACAUGUUCAAUGCAAAGAUUCGACGUGGAUUGAUGGGUCACUGUCCUUGUUCAUCAAACAAGUGUGUGGUCCAAAUGAAGUGAAAUUUGGGCCUCUCAUUGUCUUUGUCCAUAUACUAGUCUACGCAUGAGGUGGAGCGAUGCACGCGGGACAUCGUGUACCACAGGGUGCAACCAUGCCUGCAUUAUCUCUUCAUUUUUAUUUGUUAUUUUCUGAUUAAUCUUUCAAUUUGAGUGGUUUUUAACCCUUGUCUGAAGAAUUUAGUUCAGAAGAAUAUCUGAUAGAUGGCCCACCUUCAACAAUUAAUAUCUAGGCACAUGUUUGUUAUAAAAUAGACUGUUCGAAAUGUGGGCCUCACUGUCGAUGGGCCAUGGCCCAAAAAUUACAUCAAUAAGGCAUCUCAAUCACUCCAUAUGUGACACUUACUGGACUGAAUACCAUCUCUUUGUAAUCAAGCAUUAGUGAGCCACAGUUGCAAAGUAGAUGACAUUUUGGUGCAAUUUUUGGAGCUAUGUCCCACCUAACUGAGGGCCCACUUUUUGAACGGUUUGGAUCAUUGCAAAAGGGUCACAAGUUUUUACAACGAUUGCCCCAUCCAUCCAUGUGGGCCACACAUAGAACAUAUAAUUCCUUGCCAUUAUCCUCAACCAGUCUGUCUGGGCCGGCUAUAUCUCAGCGUUGAAGGUCGCUAGCUCAUCAACCUACUUUUGCAGUGUAUCAGGUUUUCAGUCCUGGCAAGUAGGGCCCAGUGGUAGGCAAUCCAGACCACUAAUCUGUUGCGUCCCACCGUGGAUGGACCUUACCCAAAAAUUUCCACUUUUGGGGGAUUUCGGUCGCCAACCUUGGGACCUUUUUCACUUGAUUGUUGACUAUCUCGUUUUCUCUUCAUAACCGUUUAUCCAUUGGCCACUAAUUAGAAGGUAGAGAUAGUCCUAUUCAUUAGAUCCAGGGAUGUUAUUCCAUCGACAGUGGGAUGCGAAAGACCAACCGUCUGAUUACCCAAGCAUGGGUCCCACUUUUUAGAAAUCUCUAGAAAAAAACAAACAAGAGUUUGAUAUUCAAAAUUUCACCUGCAGCCAGCUGUUUGCUAACUUUUCAUGCAUCCCUAUCUUUCCAACGGAACUCCUCCCCAUGAAGAUCACAUGGCACAAAAAUAAAGAGGGUCUGCUCAUCAGGCCUGCCACACCGUUGAAAUCGAUGGACAACCGAUAAUUCUCGUGUCCCACUUAAUGAAUAUAUCAUCCUGAAUUUUAAGAUGAUUGAUCUUCAUGAUGGGGCCCACCUUUUCCACGGACCAGAUAUCCUACAAAAAUUGGUACGUGGUGGAAAAUAGAAGGCUGCAUGAGAAGUUACCAUGCAGCCGGUUGUAGGUGAUCCAUUCUCCAAAACCAUGUAAAAAAAAAAAAUCCAAAAUAAGAUUAUUAUUUUAUUUUAAUUUUCUAGGCCAUGCAGCAACGAGGCCCGUUGUCGAUAAUAGCCUUUUGAUGGUGUGGCCCACCUAUCUUCUUACUCCACACGCUGUCCACAGCUCUCCCACAAGUGACCAAAAACUUAAAACGAACCUUGGCCAUUGCUCAAGCCCAUCCAAAACGCUUCCCAACCAAACACGCCUUUCAAGGCCUUUCUGUAAACGUGGCAGCUUUACAAGGAUCCACGUCAUCCCAGGUCAUAAGUGGUUGAAAUCAAGUCAUAGAAAAACACAAACGAGAUAAGGAAGGAGCAGCCAAUGACGUUGUCGUGUCAAUUUCAUACUCUACAAAAUGUGAUAGAUGGUACACAGGUACUUAGAAAUUGCAUACGUUGGAUAAAAUUAAGUUUAUUUAAACUGUUCAAAUAAUGGGUCUCAGAUUAUAUGUAUCAUGAACCAAAAA